GCCGAUGUGGCGGAACUGGCAGACGCGCACGACUCAAAAUCGUGUGGGAUUUCUCCCGUGUGGGUUCGACUCCCACCAUCGGCA
rnacentral:tRNA from 1 species